AGAGCGAACGCUGGCGGCGUGCUUAACACAUGCAAGUCGAACGCGCAGCAUUCUGUAGCAAUACAGGGUGUGGGCGCGUGGCAGACGGGUGCGUAACACGUGGAUAACCUUCCUUCAGGUGGGGAAUAACCCAGUGAAAAUUGGGCUAAUACCGCAUAACAAAACGAGGGCACAUGCUCUUGUUUUCAAAGGCGCAAGUCGCCAGAAGAGGGAUCCGCGGCCGAUUAGCUUGUUGGCGGGGUAAUGGCCCACCAAGGCAUUGAUCGGUAGCCGGACUGAGAGGUUGGCCGGCCACACUGGAACUGAGACACGGUCCAGACUCCUACGGGAGGCAGCAGUGGGGAAUCUUGCACAAUGGACGAAAGUCUGAUGCAGCAACGCCGCGUGGGGGAUGAAGCUUCUCGGAGUGUAAACCCCUUUCGACCCGGAAGAAUGCCCGCAAGGGUUUGACGGUACGGGUAUAAGGAAGCCCCGGCUAACUACGUGCCAGCAGCCGCGGUAAU
rnacentral:rRNA from 1 species